rnacentral:rRNA from 1 species
GGAUAACUUACCCUUUAGGACUGGGAUAACUCUGGGAAACUGGGGAUAAUACCGGAUAUUAGGCUAUGGCUGGAAUGCUUUGCCUUUGAAAUGUUUCUUGUAUUCGCCUAAGGAUAGAUCUGCGGCUGAUUAGGUCGUUGGUGGGGUAAUGGCCCACCAAGCCUAUGAUCGGUACGGGUUGUGAGAGCAAGAGCCCGGAGAUGGAACCUGAGACAAGGUUCCAGACCCUACGGGGUGCAGCAGGCGCGAAACCUCCGCAAUGUACGAAAGUGCGACGGGGGGAUCCCAAGUGUUAUUCUUAAUAGGAUAACUUUUCAUUAGUGUAAAAAGCUUUUAGAAUAAGAGCUGGGCAAGACCGGUGCCAGCCGCCGCGGUAGCACCGGCAGCUCAAGUGGUAGCUGUUUUUAUUGGGCCUAAAGCGCUCGUAGCCGGUUUGAUAAGUCUUUGGUGAAAGCUUAUGGCUUAACUGUAAGAAUUGCUGAAGAUACUGUCAGACUUGAAGUCGGGAGAGGUUAGAGGUACUACCGGGGUAGGGGUGAAAUCCUAUAAUCCUGGGAGGACCACCUGUGGCGAAGGCGUCUAACUGGAACGAUCUUGACGGUGAGUAACGAAAGCCAGGGGCGCGAACCGGAUUAGAUACCCGGGUAGUCCUGGCCGUAAACGAUGUGGACUUGGUGUUGGAAUGGCUUCGAGUUGUUCCAGUGCCGAAGGGAAGCUGUUAAGUCCACCGCCUGGGAAGUACGGUCGCAAGACUGAAACUUAA